rnacentral:rRNA from 1 species
GGUAGCUUGCUACCUGACCUAGCGGCGGACGGGUGAGUAAUGCUUAGGAAUCUGCCUAUUAGUGGGGGACAACAUUCCGAAAGGAAUGCUAAUACCGCAUACGCCCUACGGGGGAAAGCAGGGGAUCUUCGGACCUUGCGCUAAUAGAUGAGCCUAAGUCAGAUUAGCUAGUUGGUGGGGUAAAGGCCUACCAAGGCGACGAUCUGUAGCGGGUCUGAGAGGAUGAUCCGCCACACUGGGACUGAGACACGGCCCAGACUCCUACGGGAGGCAGCAGUGGGGAAUAUUGGACAAUGGGCGAAAGCCUGAUCCAGCCAUGCCGCGUGUGUGAAGAAGGCCUUUUGGUUGUAAAGCACUUUAAGCGAGGAGGAGGCUACUUAGAUUAAUACUCUAGGAUAGUGGACGUUACUCGCAGAAUAAGCACCGGCUAACUCUGUGCCAGCAGCCGCGGUAAUACAGAGGGUGCGAGCGUUAAUCGGAUUUACUGGGCGUAAAGCGUGCGUAGGCGGCUUCUUAAGUCGGAUGUGAAAUCCCUGAGCUUAACUUAGGAAUUGCAUUCGAUACUGGGAAGCUAGAGUAUGGGAGAGGAUGGUAGAAUUCCAGGUGUAGCGGUGAAAUGCGUAGAGAUCUGGAGGAAUACCGAUGGCGAAGGCAGCCAUCUGGCCUAAUACUGACGCUGAGGUACGAAAGCAUGGGGAGCAAACAGGAUUAGAUACCCUGGUAGUCCAUGCCGUAAACGAUGUCUACUAGCCGUUGGGGCCUUUGAGGCUUUAGUGGCGCAGCUAACGCGAUAAGUAGACCGCCUGGGGA